UGAAAUGGUUAGAUGCAAAAUACCAAAGGGGAAACGAGAUGUGGUUCGAUCCCGAUCGGUACCAAAUGAGUUCGUAAUGUAAUUUCCGGUUUCAAAAACCCAAAACUCGUUAAUCUGAGGAUUCACAGUCUCCCUGUUCAACCAUUUCAAGUUACUCAGUGGAAGAAGUUAGAGUGUGCUUGGUAGUGUCGUGAUUUCGUUUGAGGGUUAGCGCAAUUAGGAGAUCAGUGAAUGUGUGGAGACUUUGCGGGCAAGUGCGAGGAAACAGAGAGCCGUGCGACGGCUUUUAAUUCCAGAUUUUGCGCCUGGCGAAGCUACCACCGCACCGCCAGCAAAGAUCAUCCCACCUCCUGCCACCACACUCUGGAUUCAAGUUUCCAAUCGAGGAAUUGCGUCAGUUGCAGCAAAAACUCGAACAAAGAAGCGCCGCCACGUGCGUAAUGCGGCAUCACUAAACGCCGUCAACCGGAUUCGUAGAUCCGUAAUUUGUUGCUGGUACGCUGUCCGGAGGUCCGACACUACCAGCAGUUACCAUCAAUCCCCCUUAGGACCUCAACAACAGAGUCGGCGCUAGAAAGCGCAAAACAGCAGUCCCGUCGCUGAAUUGUCAUCGUUAAAUUUGGGAUAAGCAGCGCAACACCAGCAGCCGGCGACUUUGAAGGUGUGA